rnacentral:rRNA from 1 species
UACAGAGGGGGCAAGCGUUGUUCGGAAUUACUGGGCGUAAAGGGCGCGUAGGCGGCCUUCUAAGUCGAACGUGAAAUCCCCGGGCUCAACCCGGGAACUGCGUCCGAUACUGGAAGGCUUGAAUCCGGGAGAGGGAUGUGGAAUUCCAGGUGUAGCGGUGAGAUGCGUAGAUAUCUGGAGGAACACCGGUGGCGAAGGCGACAUCCUGGACCGGUAUUGACGCUGAGGCGCGAAAGCCCAGGGGAGCAAACGGG